rnacentral:rRNA from 1 species
GUGAGGAAUAUUGGUCAAUGGGCGAGAGCCUGAACCAGCCAAGUCGCGUGAGGGAAGACGGCCCUAUGGGUUGUAAACCUCUUUUAGAUGGGAGUAAAGUGUUCUACGCGUAGGAUAUUGCAAGUACCAUCAGAAUAAGCAUCGGCUAAUUCCGUGCCAGCAGCCGCGGUAAUACGGAAGAUGCGAGCGUUAUCCGGAUUUAUUGGGUUUAAAGGGUGCGUAGGCGGGUGAUUAAGUCAGCGGUGAAAUGCGUCAGCUUAACUGGCGAACUGCCAUUGAAACUGGUUACCUUGAGUGUAGCGGAAGUAUGCGGAAUGCGUGGUGUAGCGGUGAAAUGCAUAGAUAUCACGCAGAACUCCGAUUGCGAAGGCAGCAUACCAUACUAUAACUGACGCUGAAGCACGAAAGCGUGGGUAUCGAACAGGA